UACGGAGGAUGCAAGCGUUAUCCGGAGUUACUGGGCGUAAAGCGUGCGCAGGCGGUUAUGUAAGACAGGGGUGAAAUCCCCGGGCUUAACCUGGGAACUGCAUUUGUGACUGUAUAGCUAGAGUACGGUAGAGGGGGAUGGAAUUCCGCGUGUAGCAGUGAAAUGCGUAGAUAUGCGGAGGAACACCGAUGGCGAAGGCAAUCCCCUGGACCUGUACUGACGCUCAUGCACGAAAGCGUGGGGAGCAAACAGG
rnacentral:rRNA from 1 species